AAUGAUUCCCAGACUUCUUCUUCCUUAGUAACCAAGAAUCCUUCUUCAUCUUUCGUUGUCGCGUACUUUUUAACUUUUCUUUUCCCACGUCUCUUUCCACCGGAUACGGAUUUGAUAAUUUCCUGAGGUUCGUCAGGUGCAGCAGAUUUUGCUUCGGUACCAAUUUCCAAUUGGAAAUUAUUAGAAUCUAAAUUAUCAUCUUCAGAAUCGUGAACGCUAGUGGUAGAUACUGAUUCAUCUUCUAGCUGCAUAAUAUUUUUCAGAUCAUCGCGCUCUCUCUUUGCUUGCUCAGACAACUUCUCCUCCUUUGGCAAGAGAGGCUCCUUUUCUUUAUGAUUUUCAAGAGGAGCUUUUUUAUUUUUACGAGAUGAGUUUCCCUUUUGGUUCCUUGCAUUACUGAAAAUAUCUUUCCCUUUAGUCUUUUCUGUACUACGUGUGUCAGUCUUAUCGAUUGUCGAUGUCUUUGAGGGAACAGAUAAUUGGGGGGAAUGAGUUGAAGGUGCCUUUUUCAAAACACGAGGCUACAAUAAGUUAGUCUUCCGAAGACGGAAGGAUCGAAUGUCAAACAACGAUUGUUGUGAUAUAAAUUACUUACCACGGAAUUUUCAUUGAAAAUAAAUCCAUACUUAUCAGCAUCUUCUUUUUUGUAUAAAACAUCUUUCUCUCUUAUUUCAUAUACUGCAGGUAAUAAUUCGUCAAAAUCCUUAAUUAAAUCAAUUAGUUUGUAACAAUAUAAAAUACAGCUUAUCGAAUACUUACACUUAAUGGAGCAGAUGAAAGAGCAAAUAUAACAGUUUUAUACCCACUUUUCAAUCUACUUUGUUUCUCUACAAAUAGUUAGCGAAUCUGCUAUCGAAUGAUCGGAAUUGACAAUAACAAACCUUGUAGAGAAGACUUAUCACACAAAAUGUAUUGCAAAACAGGAAAAUUAGAUAUAGGUUGAGAUUCCUCGUCAAUUUCCAAAUUAAUUUCAUCAUCUAUAGGUUGUCCAUGAAUAAGGUAUAUAGGAUACAAAAAAUCGUUGCCUU